rnacentral:rRNA from 1 species
CAGUAGCCGCGGUAAUACGAAGGGGGCUAGCGUUGUUCGGAAUUACUGGGCGUAAAGCGCACGUAGGCGGACAUUUAAGUCAGGGGUGAAAUCCCGGGGCUCAACCCCGGAACUGCCUUUGAUACUGGGUGUCUAGAGUAUGGAAGAGGUGAGUGGAAUUCCGAGUGUAGAGGUGAAAUUCGUAGAUAUUCGGAGGAACACCAGUGGCGAAGGCGGCUCACUGGUCCAUUACUGACGCUGAGGUGCGAAAGCGUGGGGAGCAAACAGGAUUAGAUACCCCAGUAGUCCUGUCUCUUAUACA